AUGGUAUUAAACAUUAACAAUGAGAAAGCGGGAGCGGAGAGCGGACCCCAGAGAGCCCUGUGAAGCCCCACCGCCGCCGCCGGCCUAGUUACCAUCACACAUCGGGAGGAGCCGCAGCUGCCGCAGCCAGCCCCAGUCACCAUCACCAUAACCCUGAGCAGCGAGGCAGAGACCCAGCAGCCGCCCGCCGCCCCCGCCCUCAGCGCUGCCGACUCCAAGCCCAGCACCACAGGCAGCGUAGGGAGCGGUGGCCCCAGUGGCCUCACAUCGGAGGCGCCUGCCGGCGGGGACAAGAAGGUCAUCCCAACGAAGGUUUUGGGGACAGUAAAAUGGUUCAAUGUAAGAAACGGAUAUGGUUUCAUCAACAGGAAUGACACCAAGGAAGACGUAUUUGUACACCAGACUGCCAUAAAGAAGAAUAACCCCAGGAAGUACCUUCGCAGUGUAGGAGAUGGAGAAACUGUGGAGUUUGAUGUUGUUGAAGGAGAAAAGGAUGUGGCGGCAGCAAAUGUUACAGGCCCUGGUGGAAUCCAGUUCAAGGCAGUAAAUAUGCAGCAGACUGUAACCAUCACCGACGCUAUCCAUGUCGCCGGGGUCCUCCACGCAAUUACCAGCAGAAUUAUCAGAACAGUGAGAGUGGGGAAAAGAAUGAGGGAUUGGAGAGUGCUCCUGAAGGCCAGGCCCAGCAACGCCGGCCCUACCGCAGGCGAAGGUUCCCACCUUACUAUGUGCGAGACCCUGUGGGCGUGGACCACAGUAUUCCAACCAUCCUGUACAGGGAGAAGUGAUGGAGGGUGCUGACAACCAGGGUGCAGGAGCACAAGGUAGACCACCAGAAAGACAGAAUAUGUAUCCGGGUUAUAGACCACAAUUCCGCAGGGGCCCUCCUCGCCAAAGACAGCCCAGAGAGGACGGCAAUGAAGAGGAUAAAGAGAAUCAAGGAGAUGAGACCCAAGGUCAGCAGCCGCCUCAACGUCGGUACCGCCGUAACUUUAAUUACCGACGCAGACGCCCAGAAAACCCUAAACCACAAGAUGACAAAGAGACAAAAACAGCUGAUCCACCAGCUGAGAAUUCGUCCGCUCCCGAGGCUGAGCAGGGCGGGGCUGAGUAAAUGCCGGCUUACCAUCUCUACCAUCGUCCGGUUUAGUCAUCCAACA